rnacentral:rRNA from 1 species
AACGAACGCUGGCGGCGCGCCUAAUACAUGCAAGUCGAGCGAGAAGACGUAGCAAUACGUUUGUAAAGCGGCGAACGGGUGAGGAAUACAUGGGUAACCUACCCUCGAGUGGGGAAUAACUAGCCGAAAGGUUAGCUAAUACCGCGUACGCUCCUUGGACUUCGGUUCAGGGAGGAAAGCGAUACCGUGGGUAUCGCGCUCUUGGUUGGGCUCAUGUCCUAUCAGCUUGUUGGUGAGGUAACGGCUCACCAAGGCUUCGACGGGUAGCUGGUCUGAGAGGACGAUCAGCCACACUGGCACUGCGACACGGGCCAGACUCCUACGGGAGGCAGCAGUAAGGAAUAUUGCGCAAUGGGCGAAAGCCUGACGCAGCGACGCCGC